UACAAUGAGACGCAAUACCGCGAGGUGGAGCAAAUCUAUAAAAUAUGUCCCAGUUCGGAUUGUUCUCUGCAACUCGAGAGCAUGAAGCCGGAAUCGCUAGUAAUCGUAGAUCAGCCAUGCUACGGUGAAUACGUUCCCGGGUCUUGUACUCACCGCCCGUCACACCAUGGGAGUUGAUUUCACUCGAAGCCGGAAUACUAAACUAGUUACCGUCCACAGUGGAAUCAGCGACUGGGGUGAAGUCGUAACAAGGUAACCGUAGGAGAACCUGCGGUUGGAUCACCUCCUUUCUAG
rnacentral:rRNA from 1 species